rnacentral:lncRNA from 1 species
GUCGAUCGAUACUAUUCUGGAAAACCCUUAACAUUGGGAACGAGAUCAAUCUUCGAUUGAUUAUUAUUAGAGUAACCUAUCGAUUAGAUCCGAGUGUGGAUGUUUCUUUAAAGUGAUGAUUUGCAUUGGAUCUACUAUCAGGUGUGGGUUUUAACACUAAAUAAAAUUGAGACAUGUUUUAUAUUGAUAAAAACAUUGUUAUUUAAAUAAUGUUAAUUGAUGGGGAUAUUAUAUGUAUUCAUAAAGAGAGAUAAAUCAUCAUUAUGGAUUUUAUCAAGUAAGUGUUUCUCCAAACCGUAUACGUUGUAGAAAGCAUUUCUGUGAUAAUGUGAAAAAUAUGUACAUCUCAUUCUUAAGUUAUGUGAUUAUAUAUAUGGCAUAUGUGAUAUCCAUAUGAAAAUAAAAUGUGAAAUUUUGGUACCAUGAGUACAUAUGUGAUUUGCAUGUUAAACAUGCCUAUAUGAUUUCGAGUGAUUUUGGUCAUCUUACAUGCAUGGGGUGGGAUAUGUGAAAGGUGGAAGUAUAUGGCAAUUUAUUUGCAUUAAUGAGACAUUGUUUAUGAUUUGAUUAUAUCGCAGUUUAUUUAUGACUCUGGUGGCUGGUCCACGAUUUUGAUUAUGUGGCAAUUUAUCUGUGUUACUGUGACACUGUUCACAAUUUGGUGUGUUAGAUGGACGAGUUCCGGAAAAACUCAAUUUUGGUGCGUAGUGGAUAUGGGUAGGACUGUUUUCAUAAAAUCUGCAUCAUUUUAUGAAAUGUGCAUUGAUAUGAUCAUGUAUAGUAUAAGUGUGAAAUAUUGAGUUACAUGAAACUGAUAUGAUUAUUAUGAUUGUAUAAUGUAUAUGUUUAUAUGUAUGUGAUUGUGUUUAUGUUAAUCUCAUUUUGAGCUUUAUAGCUCACCCCUCUUUAGUUUUCUGAUUUUACAGAUAACCCCAUGGCUAGGAUUCGACGACGACAUUUGGAGGAGUUUCUCGGAAUUCUUUUUAAGUUAAAGUAAUUAAAAUUUUAUUUUGAUAUUUUGGAUUGUAAUAAGUUUGAGUAUGGAUUGUGGCAUGAGACUUUAUUUUGGGGAUUUUUCAUUUUGAUUUGCAUA